AUUGCUUCGCAUGGUACUGUUGGGAGAAGGGUUCGCUGGAGUCAAGAAAUUACUUAAUAUGAGUUAUGCAUCUUGCUCAACUUUAUUAGUUUCUAACACUACUUAUAUAGACUCGAUACACAUGCAUAUUCCCAAAGCAAAAAUAUAACUGGUUAUUAGCCUCUAAGCACGUGCUGUUCUCACACCCCUAAUUAUCAUGACUAAAAUAAGCAUUCUAUCCAUGUAGCUAUUUGCGUUGCUAUGUUUCAGCCUUGCUGUUUGCUACUCCCUAUAUUCCCAUUCUGCUCCCUAUCUCUCUUGGCCUUGCACCUCCCUUCCCAACAGCUGCAGCUUGUUACAGCCACUGCCUGUUGGCACAACAUAAUUACUUGGUCUCAGGAUUCAAGAAUAGCUCAAGGCUACCUUUCUUGUUAACUUCAGCACAAUUCUGAUUACAGGCCUAUUCUAAUACCAGGCCUGGAUUGUGCAGAUCUUUAGGGAUUCUAUGGCCACGCUUCUGCAGCCAUUCUUCUACAAUUCCCCCUUUUUUGUUUUGCACAAGCCAGGCCUGAUUGGUUAUGUUAAAAACUGCUCUCUUUAAACAAGAAAAAGUACAGCUAAAAACUAAAAACAUUAAAAUAAUGAUUAUAACAAAGCGUAUCCCUUCCAUCAAUAACGUCUUUAAACAACCUGUUAUCCCCAAUCCUCUCAACCAUUCAUCAAAGGGAUUAUCAUCAGCAAGAAUAUACUUCAUGUUUCCCUGCAGUUGUGACAACUUCUUGUGGAUAGAUAUGGAAUGAUCGGGAAGGUUCACACAACACAUCCCUUCAAAUUCCUCACAACCGUGUCCAUGUGCUAAUAACAAAAAAUCUACUGCUGCUCUAUUUUGUAACGUAGCAUGCCUAAAACUAUCUAUAUCAAGCAAGAACGAACUUAAAAUCUGCGAUGUAAGAUUAAAUUGUUUCUCUCCCCAGCACACUAACCUUCGUAUAUUCUUAGCAUUUAAUGCAGUCAUAGCUCCUGGCAUAAAUAUGGAGGCUAAGACAUUUGCUGUUACAGACUGCAGAUUGACUCGGUCAUUACAUGUUUCAUCAAAGGUGCGCAGUGCCCUCCGUGAUCUAUGAAAUUGUGGAGUCAUUUUCAAUAAGUCUUUCAUACAUGGAGCAAAGUCAAACACCCUAAAUAGCAUGGCCCACCAACAGGAUGCAUAGGUAUUCCUAGCCACGCUCUGUCCCCACAUAUCAAAAAGACUCCCGGUGGCAACUGAUAACCCCCUGAUACAUUUACAUGGAAACCCCCAGUUUUCAAUUCACCCCAAAUAGGUGAACCGGUUAGAUUUUGAAACCCUGUAUAAAACCCCCAUUCACCUUGAUGUGUUAGCCAUAACUGCCACGGGUCACCAAACCAAAUUACUCCAGUGCCAUUCACAGGUUGAAGUGGUAAUGACAUGUGGGUACAGACUGCCAUACCAGUUGCAGUAACAUUAACAUAUUCAACAGGUACAACGCUAGCCAAUAGGUCUAACUCCUGCAAAGGUAAAUGAUGUGCCUGGUUUAAAUUCUCAAUAAUCGUUAUCUGCCACACUGCAUUACGCAUAGAAGGCCAAACAAAUUGCCCAUUUGGACUCACACAUGUACCAUUCUGAUUGGAAGUCAGAUCCAUUGUUUUAACAUUCCAAAAACCAUCAAAAUCUGUUUCAUUCUCUUGCAGGGGAAUACCAAUUAGACAAGUUCUAAACGGGUUGUCAGCUUUUUGCAGACUCAAACAAAAGUCUGUUACCCCUGUAAUAUUUGCCCAUGUCACCCAUAUGUUUGUCCUAGGCAAGAUGUCAAAAAUACUUUGGCCAAUGGGUAAAAAAAUUCAUCAAGACCGUAAACCAAGUCCACCACUCAAACAUGUUUAGUCCUACAAUUUCCACCUUUUUUUUUUUUUUUUUUUUUUUUACAUUCCACCCCACAAAUCUGUGCUUUCACAGAUUCUGAUGAUGUAUACUGUCUCCAAUCAGCAUGGUAUUACACUAGUCGUAUGCUUUCUCUUGCUUCAUGCCCGGUUACUAAUCAAACACAUACAUUCUUUUCACUGUUUGCAUUUAAGCUUUGGCUUACAGAACCAUUUUACCCCACAUAGCAUACAUUGGCACAAUACCCACGGGUUACAUCCCUUGCAACACAGACAGUUCAUUCCAUCUGCUCGCUCUGAGUCUUCUCUUCCGUCUUCUGAUCUUGACAUACAGGUCGCACAAACUUGCUAGGGACCCAUAUAGGUCCUUUAUCUGUGGAGAUACAAAAAUAACCUCUACCUAUAAAUAACACCAGAUUAGGUCCUUCCCAUACACCUGAAGCCAUAUUUUUAUACAGAACAUUCAAACCAGGAACUGUAGUUGUUUGGUUCCCUCGCGCUGUUUGGUGAUGUAUAACAACAGGUGGUCCCUCUCUACCCUCCAUAAGGGAGAGAUAGUUUAAGGUAAACAACACCUUAGUCAACCGUUUAGUUACAUCUAUGUCCUGCGAUACUUUCUGUCUGUGAAGAUAAUCCUUCAGGGUACAGUUUGCACCUUCAACAACUUCUUUCAGUUCUAAGGUUUUAAGGUUUUCCCGUGGUUCACCGGUGAUCACUUGUUUCUGCCACUGAUUAUUGGAUUGCCAAACACACGCAGCCUUCUUCAUCUUUCGUCCUGCAUCUGUAAACACCCUUGGCCCGUCAACUGGUCUUUUUGAGCAUAACGGUCUCGCAAUCCACUGGUAAUGUCCUAACAUCUUCCAGAGAGGGCAUUUGGCCGGUUGUUGUGUACAACACCUGUAUAACCCAUCAAGGCUUCCUGUAUGGCUGCUGAAUGUCUCAGAUGCCACUCAUAAUCAUCACCACGGACUGGAAUACUGAUAUCUGCCGGUUCAGUCCCAUCAUUUUCAACAAUCCUGUCUCUUCCUUUUCUCACCAAGGCCGCUACUGUUUCAGGGCGACUUAAAAUACGAUGACUGCGUUGCAAUGGCAAAAACAACCACCCUAAAACGAUCGCCGUAUUUCCCCCUUUAUUCUUUUGCCAUUGCAAAAUAAGGGCAAAAGGUGAAGUGGCAACAUUACAAACCAAAAAGAUAACGGAUGAUUUGCCAUUCGGUGACCACACCAGCCAGUCUGAAUCUUGCGGGACACAACUUCUAGGGCAGCCCGCUGUUCUGGUUGAACAAGUUUGAGGACUUUUGGCUUCGGUGCCAUGCAACCAGGAUCGGAACGGUUGCAAAUCAUCGUUAGUGAGUCUCUUUGUGUGUCAUCAGGGUGUAAGGGAAUCGUGAAAAAAAACAGUCUUUCAUGUCUAUCACAACAAUUUGCCAAUUCUGAGGGAUCUUCAUAAAAGGCGGAAGAGCAGGUUGCAACACUCCCAUCGCUAAAAUCUGAUCAUUAACCUUCCAUAAAUCAUGCCCCAAUUAUGUGCAUCCAGAUUAUUAAUCAGUACUGGACAAGCUAACGAGCUGGUCACCUGCCAAUCACCCUCCAAAACAGCAUCACGAUAACACCACACCAAGGCUGUAGAAUUGGAUCUUUUCUCAAGUUCAGCAUCGGUGGGGUAGUUGGGCUAACUGGAGGAAUUACAGGUACUGAAGUAGUAGACAAGUUCAUUUUAACUCGCUUUUCCAGGUUUCUUAAUCUAUCUAUUAGCUCCUGUAAGGAUUUCUCUGUAUUGUUAUCACAAGUUUCUCCCCGCCUUCCUCCUCAAACCCGUCCGAUGACGUUUCAGGACGAGGAGGUUACGUCAUCGGACGGCGCUUUUGCCCACCCUGACGUGAUUGGUGCAGCAGGACUCGCUGCCCCGCCCUCCUGGUGAGGCUCAGGUGCCUCUUCCGGUUUCGGUUCAGUUACCGCAGGCUCCUGAGGAGUAACUUUCGGUUUGUCCGCUAUCUUAUCUAAAAGCCCCGGCACUAUUGAACACGUAGGGGCGGACAUACCCUUCCUAGUACGAGUAUGCCCAACUCCGAAAAGUGUAGCUAAGAGAGAAGGCUUAGGUGAAUCACCCUUCUGCUCCACCGGCUUUUCUACCACAUCUCCCUCCAACGCUGCCUGUGGAGGACCUCAUGUCAGAGCAGGUGGAUAUUCCCUGAAGGAAACUGCAGCCUGAGGACAGGCCAUGUUUGAGCAGGCUCUUAUGACAGGAUCUGCAGCCUGUGGAGAGGGGCCCACAGAGGAGCAAGUUCCCCAGCCUGUGGAGGACCCAUGGUGGAGCAGGCUUAUACCGAAGGACUGCAGCCUGUGGAGACGACCGACACUGGAGCAGUGGAAAAGUGUGAGGAGGAAGGAGUGGCAGAGAGGAACUGUUACAGAUUAUAUUAUGGAUCCUGCCAUCUAUGUCUUGGGGUCUGCAGCGGGUCUACAGACAAGUUAGUUGACUUCAAAGACUUAGCCGUGUACCUUUAAAACAGCCACAAAUUGUCAGGUAUGUAAACAGGAUGUGGAGAACCGGAACUUAGAACCGCAGCAUACGGGCACCUACAGCAACAGCAAAUAGCAAGCAAGAAGAAGGACACAAAAACCUAUCAGGGUCUAACACUUGUACUGUCUAAGAUAUAUAAACAGUUUGUAUAAACAAUAAAGGCCAUUUUGUCCGAACCCA